UACGUAGGGUGCGAGCGUUAAUCGGAAUUACUGGGCGUAAAGCGUGCGUAGGCGGUUCGCUGUGUCCGAUGUGAAAGCCCCGGGCUUAACCUGGGAAUGGCAUUGGAAACUGGCGGGCUUGAGUGCGGGCAGAGGGGGGUGGAAUUCCGCGGUGUAGCAGUGAAAUGCGUAGAUAUCAUGAGGAAUACCAGAGGCGAAGGCGGCUCCCUGGACAAUUGCUGACACUCAGGCACGAAAGCGUGGGGAGCAAAAGGG
rnacentral:rRNA from 1 species